rnacentral:rRNA from 1 species
AUUGAACGCUGGCGGCAUGCUUUACACAUGCAAGUCGAACGGCAGCGCGGGCUUCGGCCUGGCGGCGCGUGGCGAACGGGUGAGUAAUGCAUCGGAACGUGCCCCGCAGUGGGGGAUAGUACCGCGAAAGCCGGAUUAAUACCGCAUACGACCAGCGGGUGAAAGCGGGGGACCGAAAGGCCUCGCGCUAUUGGAGCGGCCGACGUCGGACUAGCUAGUUGGUGGGGUAAAGGCUUACUAAGGCGACGAUUCGUAGCUGGUCUGAGAGGACGACCAGCCACACUGGGACUGAGACACGGCCCAGACUCCUACGGGAGGCAGCAGUGGGGAAUUUUGGACAAUGGGGGCAACCCUGAUCCAGCCAUGCCGCGUGCGAGAAGGAGGCGUUCGGGUUGUAAACCGGGUUUGUUCGGGAAGAAAUCCUCUGGGCUAAUACGCCGGGGGAGUGACGGUACCGGAUAAAUAAGCACCGGCUAACUACGUG